rnacentral:rRNA from 1 species
UAGGGAAUCUUCGGCAAUGGACGAAAGUCUGACCGAGCAACGCCGCGUGAGUGAAGAAGGUUUUCGGAUCGUAAAACUCUGUUGGUAGAGAAGAACGUUGGUGAGAGUGGAAAGCUCAUCAAGUGACGGUAACUACCCAGAAAGGGACGGCUAACUACGUGCCAGCAGCCGCGGUAAUACGUAGGUCCCGAGCGUUGUCCGGAUUUAUUGGGCGUAAGGCGAGCGCAGGUGGUUUAUUAAGUCUGGUGUAAAAGGCAGUGGCUCAACCAUUGUAUGCAUUGGAAACUGGUAGACUUGAGUGCAGGAGAGGAGAGUGGAAUUCCAUGUGUAGCGGUGAAAUGCGUAGAUAUAUGGAGGAACACCGGUGGCGAAAGCGGCUCUCUGGCCUGUAACUGACACUGAGGCUCGAAAGCGUGGGGAGCAAACAGGAUUAGAUACCCUGGUAGUCCACGCCGUAAACGAUGAGUGCUAAAUGUAGGGAGCUAUAAGUUCUCUGUAUCGCAGCUAACGCAAUAAGCACUCCGCCUGGGGGAGUACGACCGCA